UGUUCACACACACACGUACGUUCGAUACGGUAUAUAUAUAUUGCGUAAAGCAAGAACAUAUCUCACUUCUAAGAGGAGAAACAUGGCGAAACUAAAUAAUCUCUUGGCGUUGGUGGUCCUCUGUUCUGUGUUUUUCGCCUGCUGUUUAGAUCCCAUUAGUACAUUACAAAAGAGAAUUUUGCCACUUAAGAAAUAAGGUCCAAGGCUAAUAUAGCCCAUCUGCUAUCCUACAAUUUUAGCUUCAAACUCUGUUCUUUGGGGAAUGCAGAACAACGCAAGAAAUGCAACUCUAGCCUGUAUUUCGCAUUGCAAAUAAAGAUCCUUUUCGCAUCUACCAAAA
rnacentral:lncRNA from 1 species